rnacentral:ncRNA from 1 species
GCAAUCUGGCGCUGGCCAGGCAGCAGUGGCCGGUGUUCAUGGCGCUCAUCGGCAUUUCGUGGAUGUGGUUCUUUGGCGCGGUGUUUCUGGCCAACUUUCCGGCCUUCGCCAAAGAGUCGCUG